rnacentral:tRNA from 1 species
GCAGUCUUAGUAUAGUGGUUAGUACGAGUCGUUGUGGCCGACUAGACGGAUGUUCGAUUCCUCCAGAUUGCA